ACGGGUGAGUAACACGUGGGCAAUCUGCCCUUCACUCUGGGACAAGCCCUGGAAACGGGGUCUAAUACCGGAUAUCACUUCCACUCGCAUGGGUGGGGGUUGAAAGCUCCGGCGGUGAAGGAUGAGCCCGCGGCCUAUCAGCUUGUUGGUGAGGUAACGGCUCACCAAGGCGACGACGGGUAGCCGGCCUGAGAGGGCGACCGGCCACACUGGGACUGAGACACGGCCCAGACUCCUACGGGAGGCAGCAGUGGGGAAUAUUGCACAAUGGGCGAAAGCCUGAUGCAGCGACGCCGCGUGAGGGAUGACGGCCUUCGGGUUGUAAACCUCUUUCAGCAGGGAAGAAGCGAAAGUGACGGUACCUGCAGAAGAAGCGCCGGCUAACUACGUGCCAGCAGCCGCGGUAAUACGUAGGGCGUAAGCGUUGUCCGGAAUUAUUGGGCGUAAAGAGCUCGUAGGCGGUCUGUCGCGUCGGAUGUGAAAGCCCGGGGCUUAACCCCGGGUCUGCAUUCGAUACGGGCAGACUAGAGUGUGGUAGGGGAGAUCGGAAUUCCUGGUGCAGCGGUGAAAUGCGCAGA
rnacentral:rRNA from 1 species